CUCCUCCUCCUUCUUCUCUCCCUUAUCUCUCUCUCUCUCUCUGCCAGCCAGCAAGCCUUCCGGCGGCCGUAGCAGAGGCCGGCCUCGCCCACGACGGCAGGAGGCGCGCGCUCCAGCAGCGACGCAGGCCGUCCGCGGCGAGCUCGAGGGAGGCAGAAGCGAGGUCGAGGUGCUCCUGCACGAGCUGCCCGCGAGGCCACCGUGCUCCGUGUCCAUGGCGUCGGUGGCGGCGCUGAUGCGGGCAGGGGAGAGACCGUGGAGUGUGGUGCCGCACUCGUGGGGUUGCUCCGGUGCUCCAGCCACGCGCCCUCCUUUCCCAUCUCGAAUCCCCUCCGUAGUUGUGGUCAACGCUCGGGUCCGAGCUCCCGAGGCCGGCCGCCAUGACUAGGCUCAAGCUCGAGCUUGAGCUCCUGCCUCGCGAGCUUCCUGGCCUGCACUUCCCACGCCCGCAAGCCUGCCUUCUGCGCCCAGCCGCAACGGCCAUCGCCGGUGAGCGGUGCUGCCCCCUGGCGCCCGUGCGGAAGGAAGCUCCACGGUGGCGCCAUGGCUGCUGGUCGCGACGGAAGGGAGCACCACGCGCCGCCCCGCGACGGAAGGGAGGUCCACGACGGCGCCAUGGCUGCUGGCCGGCGACCCUCACGGCGGCUGCUGGCGCACGGCCACGGGAGGGACCCGAUUGCUUUUUUCAAAAGUUUACAGGGACCCGAUUGCGUUUUUGAAAAGUUUGCAGGGGCCUGAUGGCAUUUUUGAAAAGUUUGCAGACACUGACAUGUGGGCCCCACAUGUCAGUUAACGGUCAAAGGAACGGUCAAACAAAUGGUUCGUUUAGGUGUGGGCCCGACUUGUCAUAAACCGGUUUAAUUUCUUAGCCACGGGCGUUUUGGGUUUUUUGAAACAGCCGACGCCGGUUUCGGUAGUUAUCAGUCACAAACAAAAAUGUGGUAGUUUUUUGGAACCAUAGGACGAAAAGUGGUAGUUUUAUGCUAUUUACUCUUCAACUCUAGUGCCGUUGGACUUACUGAAGCUCCAUUGCUGCAUGCAUAUUCAUUUUGUUGGUGCAGCUGCAGACCUAUUUUAGAUACCGAAUCCUUGCUUUGGAAACUAGUGACUAACUGGCUGUUUAGCAUGUUAAAUGGGUCAAAUUCUUUUAGUAUAUGGACAGUGAAAGUUCCAACGCGUUCUCCUAGGUGCUGUUUUAUAUUGUUCAAAUGUUAAGUGCAUUGUCUGUUUGAUCAAAGACUAGAAGGCAGGAAUAUGGUGAAGUUUCGUUAGGGGAAAGUUAACCCUGUAAUCUGUUGUUUCUCACGUUCACUGCAUGCAGAGAUAACACAUUAAAUUACUCCUAAACAAAAGAUGAAACUAUCAUGUUAAGGGCUUCGUCCAUGGUUUGAGUUUGUGGGUUCAAUCCAAAAAUGAGAAACGGUUUGGAUUGGGUUGGAUUGAAAAAACAUACAGUUUGGUUUGGUCUGGGUUCUAGCUCAAUUUUUUUUGAUGGUUUUGGUUUGGAUCCUGGGCGUGUAGUCCUAUGGGCUGGGCUGGCUUUGAUCUGAUGUGAAACCAUUCCUAGGUUUAAGUGUGUGUACAUGCUGAUAGGAUGCAUGGUUGUUCGUCUGUGUGAUGUGUAUGAAGUGGCUGAGAAAAAAAUGAUAAAUGUCUGAGAAUUUUUUUUAGUGUUCCAAUGUCUGCUGUAUAGGUCUUUGAUGUUGAGGUUGGAUGGAUAAAUGAACUAGAGCCACUCAACUUUGGGACGAAAAACCCAUUGCCCCUUCUGGAAUUGAUUUGUCUAUUCUGUUCAUUGUACUGUUAAUUUAAUUUGUGCAAUGUAUUCAUAGCAGAGCCUGAACGGACAUUUGUUGUCACUGUGCCCCUUUGUUGCAAAUGGGGAAGCUGAAGCCUGUCUCUCCAACGGCUACUCCUCGAGGUCAGAAGAGGCGGCGUGAGAAGCCCAAAAGGCCCGUGCUUGAUGGCAGUCUGUCUGACUCUUCAGAUGGAAUCAUAGCAGCGGAGGAUGUUCGACGUGAGAAACCAUCCAAUGAGAGCCCUCAAGGCCUACAUCAGAGUGAUGAUGGUGACUCAGAUGAUUGCACUGUUUCCAGUGAGGAUGAGGCACAUGAUAUGAUAAGCAAUAAAAAUGAUUCUUUUGAUGAAAUGGAGUCCUCAUGUUCAUUUCAGCGUCAUGUUACUCACGUGCUAGCAAAUGAUGAAGUCAAUACAUCAGUGAAUCAGAAGAGUAAAUUUAAUUGGGAGAUUCCUGCAGAGGGCAUUCCAAAAUCCAAAUGGGUUGGAACAGGUGAAAAGAUUAAGGGAGCUUCUGAUGAUCCUUUUGUUAAUGUCAAAGGAAAGCUGAAGGACCACUGGCAAAAAAUCCUCUCGGAUGAAUUGAAUUAUAGAUCAAGGUUCUUCUCACUUUGUAAUAGUUAUCGUGACAUAAUGCAUUGUAACAAGAAGCCAUUUUAUCGUAAGGGUAGUAAGGUGGAUUCCAGUACUAUGGAUGCAUAUCUUAUGCAUGCUUUGAGUCAUGUUCAUAGAACAAGAGAUGUUGUCAUUAAAAAUGACGCGAAGCUUAGGAAUGAUACUAACACAGAUAUUUUGGAUGACAACUCAUACUGCGAUCAGGGUUUUACACGUCCAAAGGUUCUGUUCUUGUUACCUCUAAAAAGCAUUGCACGACGUGUUGUGAAGAGAUUAAUCCAAUUAUCUCCGCUGACACAAAAGGAUAAUGCUAUAGGGCAAUUCAAGAAAGAGUUUGACGAGUCAGAUGAUGAACUGGAGGAGCCAAAUAGUUGAAAACCAACAGACUUUAACCUUGUUUUUGCUGGGGAUGUUGAAGAUCACUUUCUUUUUGGAAUAAAAUAUACAAAGAAAUCUGUUAAGCUAUACAGUAAUUUCUAUGCUUCUGAUAUCAUAGUUGCAUCUCCUUUAGCGCUUAAACUUAAAAUUGAUGGAGGUGAAGUUACCAAGAAAAAGGGACGUCCCAAGGAAAAUGAUUCUGACUUCCUGUCAUCAAUUGAAAUAGUGGUGGUUGAUUAUGCAGAUGUGAUAUCUAUGCAGAAUUGGUCACAUCUGCAUGCUGUUCUUGAACAACUAAAUCAUUUGCCAUCAAAAGAACAUGUAACCAAUGUGAUGCGGAUUAGGCCAUGGUACCUGGAUGAGCAUGCACGGUACUAUCGGCAAACAAUAAUCUUAAGCUCGUAUCUUACGCCAGAGAUGAAUGCUUUGUUCAACGGAUUAUGCUUAAAUUACGAGGGGAAGGUUAAGCUGGUGACUGAGUUUACAGGUGUUCUUCCCAAAAUACAGCUUGAAAUACGGCAGGUGUAUGAACGGUUUGAUGCAUCUUCUAUCGGUGAAUCUGAUGAUGCCCGCUUUGAAUAUUUUUGCACAAAGGUGUACCCAAAGAUUCAGGAGUCAGAUGCGGGUGGAGUGUUGCUAUUCGCCAGCUCCUAUUUUGAAUAUAUUAGGCUGAGCAAUUUUUUAAAAUCCCAGGAUGCGUCUUUCUGUAGAAUUGGGGAGGCUACGUCACAGCAGGAUAUAUCCCGUGCAAGACUCUGGUUCUUUGAGGGCCAGAAGAAGAUCUUGCUUUAUAGUGAGAGAUCUCACUUCUUCCACAGAUACAAGAUCAGGGGAGGACAUCAUUUGGUUAUCUACUCAUUGCCAGGGAGAAAGGAUUUCUAUCCGGAGCUUGUAAAUAUGCUUGGUGAAUCAGCAAAUCCCAGGUGCAAUGUGCUUUUUUCUCGACUGGACCUUCUUAAGUUGGAACGAAUCGUCGGGGCAUGUUCUGCGCGGAGGCUGAUCUCUUCCGACAAGGAUAUGUUCGUCUUCUGCUGACGCAUGGGCGUGCCUUAGCUCUGAUUGUAUUGUCUCCAAUGCCGUGAUUGGUUGGCCAUUUUUGGGUUGUAAAAUAUACACACGUUUCCCAGACUGUAAUCAGCGGGUUUUUGUUACAGACCUCCGCCCACCGGUUUCCGCUCGGAAUGACUUACACCUGUAUUUUCCGCAUUUUUUCUCAGGCCCGCCUUGAAAUGGAUGUAACUUUGAUUUUAUUCUGGAAUGAAAACGACAGGAGGA